UUGCAGCUCUCCAGGACUUUCUGGUCAUCUGAGCUUGGCAGAGUCAGAGGAUGUUGUGGGAUAUGGAAACUGAGCCCUCACACAUGGACCAAAUUCUGCCAAGCAGAGGAUAAAGGCAGAACAACAUGAUUGAAGGGAAGAUGCUUUUGUGAUAUAUCCCAGCAUGCUGAUGACCCCAAGGAAGACCACUGGAUACCUAGCAAGGUAAGAAAGAGAAUAGUUUCUGUUCCGAGAUUUUUAGGUUUGAGACUGGCCUAGG
rnacentral:lncRNA from 1 species